rnacentral:rRNA from 1 species
GAUACCUGGCGGCGUGCCUACACAUGCAAGUCGAGCGAACCUUCGGGGUGAGCGGCGGACGGGUGAGUAACGCGUGGGUAACCUGCCCUGUACACACGGAUAACAUACCGAAAGGUAUGCUAAUACGGGAUAACAUAUGAGAGUCGCAUGGCUUUUGUAUCAAAGCUCCGGCGGUACAGGAUGGACCCGCGUCUGAUUAGCUAGUUGGUAAGGUAACGGCUUACCAAGGCAACGAUCAGUAGCCGACCUGAGAGGGUGAUCGGCCACAUUGGAACUGAGACACGGUCCAAACUCCUACGGGAGGCAGCAGUGGGGAAUAUUGCACAAUGGGCGAAAGCCUGAUGCAGCAACGCCGCGUGAGCGAUGAAGGCCUUCGGGUCGUAAAGCUCUGUCCUCAAGGAAGAUAAUGACGGUACUUGAGGAGGAAGCCCCGGCUAACUACGUGCCAGCAGCCGCGGUAAUACGUAGGGGGCUAGCGUUAUCCGGAAUUACUGGGCGUAAAGGGUGCGUAGGCGGUCUUUCAAGCCAGAAGUGAAAGGCUACGGCUCAACCGUAGUAAGCUUUUGGAACUGUAGGACUUGAGUGCAGGAGAGGAGAGUGGAAUUCCUAGUGUAGCGGUGAAAUGCGUAGAUAUUAGGAGGAACACCAGUAGCGAAGGCGGCUCUCUGGACUGUAACUGACGCUGAGGCACGAAAGCGUGGGGAGCAAACAGGAUUAGAUACCCUGGUAGUCCACGCCGUAAACGAUGAGUACUAAGUGUCGGGGGUUACCCCCCUCUGUGCCGCAGCUAACGCGAUUAAUUACUCC